ensembl:lncRNA
CAUAUGGAGGUUCCCAGGCUAGGAGUCUAAUUGGAGCUAUAGCUGCCAGCCUACACCACAGCCACAGCAAUGCCAGAUUCAAGCUGCAUCUGUGACCUACACCACAGCUCACAACAACGCCGGAUCCUUAACCCAAUGGAGCGAGGCCAGGGAUCGAACCUUCAACCUCAUGGUUCCUAGUGGAUUCAUUUCCGCUAUAGCAAUUCUUUGUAUAAACUUAAGAACCAUCAGAAUUUCGUCAGAUGAAACAAAGAAGAGGGGAGAGGUGAGAUGAACCCCAUUUAAAUAACGGGAGUCUGUAUUUGGGAGAGAAAAUUGUAACCUUGGGUCUUUACUUAAUUUGAUCUGUCUCAGGGCCAAUGAUGAAGGUGACCAACCACUCCAUUCAUUUAUUCACCCCGUCCGUAUUUACUGAGCACCCAUGAUGCGUACGGCACAGGUCUAGGCACUAGGCUGAUAGUGAAGAAGAAGGUAGCAAUGUUCCCUGCCGUCGUGGAGUGUGCACUUUGGGGAGGGGGUUGAGGAUGCAGAGAAUAAACCAUUAGACAGGUAAAUAACCAAGAUAUCUUCAAAUCAGGGCAGGUGUUCAAAGACAGUAAAGCAGUGGUCAUAGUAACAAGAAGGGGGUGCCAGUCUGUAAAGAGUGGUCUCUCUGAGAGGCAACAUGUAAGAAAAUUAUGAAACUAUUUAUUUAAACUCACAAGCCCAUUGUUAGUAACAGUUAGCAACAUUAUCCUUUCAAGGUUAUUAUUACUCUAGCAAGACCUGUGAAUGGAUUUUACCCUCUGUGCUUUUCCUCUACUUCUCAUUCACCACUUAAUCUUUCUUUGAAUUGGUCAUGAGUAUAUCUUUUCUUUUACUUAUUCAAUGCACUUUUAUGAUGACAGACUUAAUUUUACAAGGAAGUAAGCUAGUUUAUAAGCCCAUUACCCAAGUUAAGUUGCUUUUUAAGUAUUUUCUAUACAACAUGAAGCCUUUGAGAAGAAAAUUCAUCCUCUCUCUUCACCAGCCUCAGCCACUUUCUCUUCUCCUGCUGCAGUGAAUUCUUGUUGUACAAAGAUUUCUUACCUUUCAGAUCCAUCUUUGGACAAAAACAUGGGUCUUGUUAAACAAAAACUUCCUUUCUAACCCCUACUGGGCAGACACACAUACAGGAGAUAGCAGGCUAUGAAUGGCCCCAGUGACUCUUGCCUUUGUCCAACCCCCUGCCCUUCAAGUAAGGAGAAACCUGUGAUUACACAAUGAGAUGUCACUCCUAUGAUGAGGUUACGCUGUCUGACAAAAGGCAGCUUCUUCAGGCUGGCUUAAUCUAAUCUGAUCCUAGCCAAUUAAAGGCAUGAUGUUCCUCUGGCUGGAAGACAGGAAGGUGGAGAAAUUGGGAGCAUGAGAAGAACUUGGACCACUGCAGCUGUGAAGACAGAAGGGCUAUGUGUGAAGAAAUUUGGUCAGUCUCUAGAUGCCCACUGCUACUGGCCAGCAAAGUAAUGGGAACCUCAAAUCAACAGCUGCAAGGAACUGGAUUCUUCCAACAGCGUCAAUGAUCUUACAAGCAGAUUUUCCCCAAAAUCUUCCAGAUGAGAGCCCCUGGCUAGCUGAUACCUUGACUUUGGCCUUAUAAGACCCUAAGCAGAGAAUUCAGCCAACUCGCCCAGAAUGAUGACCAACAGAACUCUGAGAUGGCCAAUGGGUAUUAUUUUUAGUCAUUGUGUUUGUGGGAAUUUGUCAUGCAGCAAUAGAAAACUACUACAACAAUAACCAGAUUUAUCAACUUAGUGUUCUACUGUUGUUAAAUAGCUAAAUAAUGAAUGUUUCCCACCUUCAUAAUGUGCACCAUUAAUUACCUGAAAGGAAGGGAAUUCUCUGGGAGAGAAGGCAAAGGAGGGUCAGUGAUAGAAAAGUAGGACCCGAUGUGGGACAGACUAAUGACAAACAUACUGUAUCACUUACAUUGGCCAAUUGCAAUGUGACACUUGUGCUGGGCUACUAACUACUCUAAAGGAAAGAACGAGGCAGAACAACUAGGAUAAACCAAAAACACUAGGCAUGAGUAAUAGGAAUGUGGAUACAACCGAUUUUCCUGAUCUUCUCUCCAAUUCUUUGUACAUGGGGUGGGGGAGAGAGGGGAGAUGGUGAAACUGCUUAAAUGAAGCCAUGCUUUUCUGGCAUUUUUCUAAUUAUAAAUUCACAUGUGAUUAUAUGCUGAGUUCAGAAGCAUUUACAUAUUGCAGCACAGAGAGACCACUGUGUGUUCACUGGCUACGCUUUUCUUUUCCAUGGCACAAAGGAAGGCUGCCGUUUCAGGCUCCCCUACAAAUACGUUUGGAACAUUUGAUGGUAUUCUGGCAAAUGGGAUGUAAGCAGAAAUUAAAGAAGUCAUUUCCAGGCCACACUCUUUAAAAAUAUCAUGGACAAUCCUAAGUUCUUUUGUCCCUGAAAAGGCCAUGUGUUGAGAUAACAGGCCACUAGAUGGAGGGAGCCUGGAUCUCUGAGUCACUGGGUGGAAGAGAGCCUCCAUCAGUGUAUGCUGGACUUUGCUGGGGCCAGAAAUAAGUAUUUUUUAAGGUUUUGAGAUUUGAGGGGGCAGGUAAUCUUACUACAGCACAGCUUAUUAAUAUUAAUUUAUCCUAAAUAACACACAUAUAUUUUCUCAUUUGACUUAAUUUAGCAGGUUUAGACAGAAUCUCUUUAUCUUAGACUUUUUCUUGAUUUAGUGUAACACCCAACAUUGCACAAGAACAUUAACACAGGAAUUUGAAUAUCAAAUUUAAUUACUGGUACGAGAAAUUCACAUUCUGACACAUCUGAUAUUUACAGUGGAUAAUUCCUGUCUUACAGAAAACUACAAUGAGGAGCACAGAUAUACAUGCAAAUUUAUACAUAUACAUGUAAUUAUUAAUAAUAGGAAUAAUGACAAACUCUUUCCUGCCAUGCCAAGUAAAAGUGCACUUAACCUUAACCACAUCUCCAUCCCCAAUUACUCCCCACCCCCACAUCAGAAGAUGGCCCCACCUGAUCUUUUCAGCCUAAUUUAAGCAAUGUCAACCUAGAACAAAGACAAAUUUAAUGUGAAAACUAGCAUUUGUUUAGCAGGGAGAAGGACUCACAAUGAAAAGUCAAAAUUAUUUUCCUGAAUAUUCAGAAAAGGUAUUAACCAUUUAUAAACCAGGAGGCAGAAGUGAAUAUACCAGGCCUUCUAACCCAAUCACCCAUUUUGCCAUUUACUGGAAAUGAAUCUCCAAAGACCUAAGAAGAGACAAAGGGCUAAUACGUAUUCUUUAAUGUACAAGAUUAUAAUUAACCUAACGUCUGUUUCAAAUUUACUAUUAUCUCUUAAAGAAUAAAUAAUUUUACAGCCCUCUAAUAUAGCUCUUAAGCUUUAAAUCACUGACCAUAACUAAUAAGUAGCUUAAUAGCAAGAAUACCCUAAAUAGAGCCACAGACCGCAAUUUCACUGA